CAGAGAACAUGCCCCUCUUAUUGAAAACCACCCUCCAGAUUUCUGUAAAAGAUAGACAGGAACAUGGGCAGGAUGUUUAUACAGCAAAAUGUAAACAUUUUCCCUGGCCUUCUUUAAAUAAAAAAUCAAGCAAAAGCCCCGUUAGAUCAGUUAAUACGCAAUCUGAUGCGAUAUGUCCGCGUGUCCGUAGCGCCUGGUGCAGAUGCAGGACAUUUUUACGCACGAAUAUUGUUUGUGUAAUGCAGUCAUAAUAUUUACGCAGGCACGCAGGAGGGGUGCGCACCGAACUGCCGAGCUGUGAGCACAGAAACUCGGACUGGGACUUGAGAUCAACUCCUGCGGGCACUUCACCGUCGAAAGAUCCGGGAAAUAAAGCCGGAGUGGGCAGGCGUGCGGCUUUGGCCACAGGAAACCGUGAAUUCUUUGGAGAAUGGAAGAUGUCUUAUGGAGAGAGACGUAGUGGGCCCCCACCCACCAACCCACCCACUCACCACCUCAGCAUGACCCCUGACCCCCCUCUUGUGUUUAUAUCAGACCGUGGAAGUGAGAAAUAGUGAUGAGUCACUCUGGAUGUAUGUUUAUACUCUGGAGUCACGCAAGGAAGGAAAUCAGCCACGGUCUGCUAAAAGUGGCGAGGUGACAGAGAGUAGCUGCAGUCCCUGAGCACUGCACUGAUUUACCUUGAAGAACCUGAACGUAUUUCACGUCACGUCUCUGCCGCGAAGACGUUUGGAUAAAUGUGCAUGUACUGAUCCCGAUCAGUGAGUGAGAGGGAAACACAGACAGAUACAGGUGGAUUCUUGAAAGAGAUUUCUAUUUUUUAACAAAAAUCAUAACAUAAAUGAACUCAGGUCGUAACGGGCAACUCUGAAACAAAUAAUCAACUACUAUGGUCAUAAAAUAUGUUGUAUAUAAUUUUUACAAUUCAAAUAACUCCUACCCAUGCUGCACAGUGAGUGGGAAUAAAAUGGUACAGAGCACCCCCAAUACACACAUAAUUAUUUAAAGAGUAUUAUAAUUAUUAAUCAUAAUAUUGUUUUUUUUUGACAGACUACACUUAUGCUGAAUUUCCUCUGUGAAAACUUUGCUCUCUAACCUGAGAUUAACCACUUCUCUCUGGCUGGAGGUCACAUGCUGUGAGACAGGCUGAGCACAGAGUGACAGGUCGCUGAGUAACCGACAGCUUCACCAGCCAAUCGUUUCAUGAGGUCUGAGUGAAGUGACCGGUUGUUUAUUACAGUAUUGUGAGAGCCACAGGAAACUUUAUUUACUGAUGACAAUCAGGACGGGAAGAGGCCUUCAACUGAACUCGACUCAAGUGAACUGAAGUGAACUGAAUGUGUUGGUUAACUGUGUUGCCAAAAAUGUUUAAUAAAAGUGAGCACUGUU